rnacentral:rRNA from 1 species
GAUGAACGCUGGCGGCGUGCCUAAUACAUGCAAGUCGAGCGAACAGACGAGGAGCUUGCUCCUCUGACGUUAGCGGCGGACGGGUGAGUAACACGUGGAUAACCUACCUAUAAGACUGGGAUAACUUCGGGAAACCGGAGCUAAUACCGGAUAAUAUAUUGAACCGCAUGGUUCAAUAGUGAAAGACGGUUUUGCUGUCACUUAUAGAUGGAUCCGCGCCGCAUUAGCUAGUUGGUAAGGUAACGGCUUACCAAGGCAACGAUGCGUAGCCGACCUGAGAGGGUGAUCGGCCACACUGGAACUGAGACACGGUCCAGACUCCUACAGGAGGCAGCAGUAGGGAAUCUUCCGCAAUGGGCGAAAGCCUGACGGAGCACCGCCGCGUGAGUGAUGAAGGUCUUCGGAUCGUAAAACUCUGUUAUUAGGGAAGAACAAAUGUGUAAGUAACUAUGCACGUCUUGACGGUACCUAAUCAGAAAGCCACGGCUAACUACGUG